CGUAGGCGGGUAGGUAAGUCAGUGGUGAAAUCCUGGAGCUCAACUCCAGAACUGCCAUUGAUACUAUCUAUCUUGAAUAUUGUGGAGGUAAGCGGAAUAUGUCAUGUAGCGGUGAAAUGCUUAGAUAUGACAUAGAACACCCAUUGCGAAGGCAGCUUACUACGCAUAUAUUGACGCUGAGGCACGAAAGCGUGGGGAUCAAACAGGAUUAGAUACCCUGGUAGUCCACGCCCUAAACUAUGGAUACUCGACAUAUGCGAUACACUGUAUGUGUCUGAGCGAAAGCAUUAAGUAUCCCACCUGGGAAGUACGUUCGCAAGAAUGAAACUCAAAGGAAUUGGCGGGGGUCCGCACAAGCGGUGGAGUAUGUGGUUUAAUUCGAUGAUACGCGAGGAACCUUACCUGGGCUAGAAUGCUGGGAGACCGCUAGUGAAAGCUAGUUUUGUAGCAAUACACUGCCAGUAAGGUGCUGCAUGGCCGUCGUCAGCUCGUGCCGUGAGGUGUUGGGUUAAGUCCCGCAACGAGCGCAACCCCUAUCUUUAGUUGCCAACAGGUAAUGCUGGGAACUCUAAAGAAACUGCCGCCGUAAGGUGUGAGGAAGGAGGGGAUGAUGUCAGGUCAUCAUGGCCUUUAUGCCCAGGGCUACACACGUACUACAAUGGGGGAGACAAAGGGCUGCAACAUAGCGAUAUGAAGCCAAUCCCAAAAACUCCCUCUCAGUUCAGAUUGCAGGCUGCAACUCGCCUGCAUGAAGCUGGAAUCGCUAGUAAUCGUAUAUCAGCAAUGAUACGGUGAAUACGUUCCCGGACCUUGCACACACCGCCCGUCAAGCCAUGGGAGUCGGGUGUACCUAAAGUCGGUAACCGAAAGGAGCUGCCUAGGGUAAAAUCGAUGACUGGGGCUAAGUCGUAACAAGGUA
rnacentral:rRNA from 1 species